AUUUAACGCUGUCGGCAGGCUUAACACAUGCAAGUCGAGCGGGGAAAGGUAGCUUGCUACCUGACCUAGCGGCGGACGGGAGAGUAAUGCUUAGGAAUAUGCCUAUUAGUGGGGGACAACAUUCCGAACGGAAUGCUAAUACCGCAUACGCACUACGGGAAAACCAGUGGAUCUUCCGACCUUGCGCCAAUAGAUGAGCCCAAGUCAGAUUAGCUAGUUGGUGGGAGAAGGGCUUACCAAGGCGACGGUCUGUAGCGGGUCAGAGAGGAUGUGACGCUACACUGGGACGAAGUCCCGGACCAGACUCCGACGGGAGGCAGCAGUGGGAAAUAUUGGAAAAAGGGCGAAAGCCUGAUCCAGCCAUGCCGCGUGUGUGAAGAAGGCCUUUUGGUUGUAAAGCACAUUAAGCGAGGAGGAGGGUACCGAGAUUAAUACUCUUGGAUAGUGGACGUUACUCGCAGAAUAAGCACCGGCUAACUCUGUGCCAGCCGCCGCAGUAA
rnacentral:rRNA from 1 species